GACGAACGCUGGCGGCGUACCUAAUACAUGCAAGUCGAGCGGACUUUCAAGAAGCUUGCUUUUUGAAAGUUAGCGGCGGACGGGUGAGUAACACGUGGGCAACCUGCCUGUAAGACGGGGAUAACUCCGGGAAACCGGGGCUAAUACCGGAUAAUAUCUUUCUUCGCAUGAAGGAAGGUUGAAAGGCGGCGCAAGCUGCCGCUUGCAGAUGGGCCCGCGGCGCAUUAGCUAGUUGGUGAGGUAACGGCUCACCAAGGCGACGAUGCGUAGCCGACGUGAGAGGGUGAUCGGCCACACUGGGACUGAGACACGGCCCAGACUCCUACGGGAGGCAGCAGUAGGGAAUCUUCCGCAAUGGACGAAAGUCUGACGGAGCAACGCCGCGUGAGCGAUGAAGGUCUUCGGAUCGUAAAGCUCUGUCGUCAGGGAAGAACAAGUACCGUUCGAAUAGGGCGGUACCUUGACGGUACCUGACCAGAAAGCCACAGCUAACUACGUGCCAGCCGCCGCAGUAA
rnacentral:rRNA from 1 species